AUGGAUAUUGAGUCCCUUGUUAGACAACCAGCCAGUCACAGUGUUGACCCCUCCUCCCUUCAGAUAUCUCCAGGCCACAGUCACAGUGUUGGCCCCUCCUCCCCUAUAUCUCCAGCCAGCAGUCAAAGUGUUGGCCCCCCUCCCCCAGAUAUCUCCAGGCCAGCAGUCACAGUGUGCCCUUCCUCCCCUCAGAUAUCUCAAGUCCAGCAGUCACAGUGUUGGCCCCCUCCUCCCUUCAGAUAUCUCCAGGCCAGCAGUCACAGUGUUGGCCCCUCCUCCCUUCAGAUAUCUCCAGGCCAGCAGUCACAGUGUUGGCCCCUCCUCCCUUCAGAUAUCUCCAGGCCAGCGACACAGUGUUGCCCUCCUCCCUCAGAUAUCUCCAGGCCAGCAGUCACAGUGUUGGCCCCUCCUCCCUCAGAAUCUCCAGGCCAGCAGUCCACAGUGUUGGCCCUUCCUCCCCCAGAUAUCUCCAGGCCAGCAGUCACAGUGUUGGCCCCUCCUCCCUCAAUAUCUACAGGCCAGCAGUCACAGAUGAGGAUGUCUGAAAGUGACAGUGCUCAAACACCUAAUUAAAUCCCACUGUUUUAAAAAAUUUAACUAGGCAAGUCAGUUAAGAACUAAUUCUUAUUUUCAAUGACAGCCUACCAGGGAACAGUGGGUUAACUGCCUUGUUCAGGGGCAGAACGACAGAUUUUUACCUUGUCAGCUUGGGGAUUCAAUCUUGCAACCUUUGCGGUUACUAGUCCAACGCUCUAACCACUAGGCAACCUUCCGCCCCACUGUAGCUCUGUUCUGCUGGGAUGAGGGAUGGGCUGGGACCAGAAAUCGUCCCAGGCAUUUCAAACACACUGGCCCAGUUGUUCUCAUUAAGACUCCCACACCAGCAAAAAUGUUUUCCCUAGAAGCACCCCUUAUUAGCUGAAGCGCUAGCAAAACCAAAUGCAUGCUUUUCAACCGUUCGUUGCCCGCACCUUCCUGCCCGACUAGCAUCACUACUCUGGACGGUUCUAACCUAGAUUACGCGGACAACUACAAAAUACCUAGGUGUCUGGUUAGACUGUAAACUCUCCUUCCAGACUCACAUCAAACAUCUCCAAUCCAAAAUCAAAUCUAGAAUCGGCUUUCUAUUUCGCAACAAAGCCUCCUUCACUCACGCCGCCAAACUUACCCUAGUAAAACUGACUAUCCUACCGAUCCUCGACUUCAGCGAUGUCAUCUACAAAAUAGCUUCCAAUACUCUUCUCAGCAAAUUGGAUGCAGUCUAUCACAGUGCCAUCCGCUUUGUCACCAAAGCCCCUUAUACCACCCACCACUGCGACCGGUACACUCUAGUCGACUGGCCCUCGCUACAUAUUAGUCACCAGACCCACUGGCUCCAGGUCAUCUAUAAGUCUAUGCUAGGUAAAGCUCCGCCUUAUCUCAGCUCACUGGUCCCGAUAAGAACACCCACCCGUAGCACGCGCUCCAGCAGGUAUAUCUCACUGGUCAUCCCCAAAGCCAACACCCCCUUUGGCCGCCUCUCCUUACAGUUCUCUGCUGCCAGUGACUGAAACGAAUUGCAAAAAUUGCUGAAGCUGGAGACUUACAUUUCCCUCACCAACUUUAAACAUCAGCUAUCUGAGCAGCUAACCAAUCACUGCAGCUGUACGUAGGCCAUCCGUAAAUAGCCCACCCAAUCUACCUACCUCAUCCUCAUAUUGUUUUUAUUUACUUUGCUGCUCUUUUGCUCACCAGUAUCAGUACUUAUACACCAGUGUCACUACUUACACACCAUCAUCUGAUCAUCAUCAUCUGAUCAUCAUCAUCUGCUCAUCUAUCAUUCCAGUGUUAACCUGCUAAAUUGUAAUUACUUCGCUACUGAGGCCUAUUUAUUGCCUCACCUCCUCACACCAUUUGCACACACUGUAUAUAGACUUUAUUUUUUCUCUAUUGUGUUAUUGACUGUAUGUUUGUUUAUUCCAUGUGUAACUCUGUGUUGUUGUUUCUGUCGCACUGUUUUGCUUUAUCUUGGCCAGGUUGCAGUUGUAAAUGAGAACUUGUUUUCAACCAGCCUACCAGGUUAAAUAAUUAUAUAUUUUAAAAAAUCAUUAUAAUUAUGUGUAAAACACCUAAUUUAGUCCCACUGGGCUAAAGACUGUAGUCCAUCAGCCAGCCCAUUUCCUGUCUAGGACCAAGUCAUUGGCCGGAAAACUACAGGUCAUGCAAGGGCUGCGUGUCACAACCCCAGAAAGAUCGCCAUGACGACUCAGCCUGAAUAUAAUUCCCCUGCUCUAUCCAUCGCUACAUUCAUUGUCUUUAGCUGCCCUCCUAGAAGUCAAAACGAGGGGCGUUGUUCAAAACAAAUGAAUCAGUGAUUGGAUUGUCUCUAACCAAUCAGAGUAUGAAAGUUAAUAACAUCAUCAUGUAGGCUCUUGCCCAACCUAUCAGAUUCUGAGACCAUUCAGAACUGUCAGAAUGUGUUCGCAUUCUAGAAAUCGUAGGGGGAGGCAAAUCCAGACUCAUGGUAAAUCCAGACUCAUGGUGAAUCCAAACUCAUGGUGAAUCCAGACUCAUGGGGAAUCCAGACUCAUGGUUAAUCCAGACUCAUGGUUAAUCCAGACUCAUGGUUAAUCCAGACUCAUGGUUAAUCCAGACUCAUGGUGAAUCCAGACUCAUGGUGAAUCCAGACUCAUGGUGAAUCCAGACUCAUGGUGAAUCCAGACUCAUGGUGAAUCCAGACUCAUGGUGAAUCCAGACUCAUGGUGGAGAAGAAACACCCGUUUGGCUGGGUGAUGUGGAUGGGUAGCCAGGCAACCAGCAAGAGUGAUCAUGGCUUAGAUUGAGAGUCAUAGGCUUCAUCCCAAUUUUCUUCCCUUUGUGUGAACUAAUAACCAGAAUGGAUUGGUGGAGAUGAUAUACAAUUUAGUCAUUCAGCAGACUCUCUUAUCCAGAGAGACUUACAGUAGUGAGUCAUUUAGCCGACUGUCACAUCCCUCUUAAGGAGGAGACCAAGGCGCAGUGUGGUAAGCAUACAUUCUUCUGUAAUUAAAGCAAGAACACUGAACAAACUAACAAAACAACAAAAUGAACCGUGAUGCAAAUAUGAGUAGUGCAGACAGGCAACUAAACAUAGAAUAAGAACCCACAAAUAACCUAUGGGAAAUGGCUACCUAAAGAUGGUCCCCAAUCAGAGACGACGAUAAACAGCUGCCUCUGAUUGGGAACCAAUUCAGGCAACCAUAGACCUACAUAUACCUAGACAUACUAAAACCCCAUAGAUAAACAAAAACCCCUAGACAAUACAAAAACUAACAUACCCACCCUCGUCACACCCUGACCUAACCAAGAUAAUAAAGAAAACAAAGAUAACUAAGGUCAGGGCGUGACACAGACUCUCUCAUCCAGAGAGAUUUACAGUAUAGAGUCCAUACAUUUUCAUACUUUUUUCAUUCCGGUCCCCCUUGGGAAUCGAACCGAACUUUAUAAAAAAAAAAUUGAUUGAUUGAAGACUCCCUUCAGCCGUUUUUAAAUCCAAGUGCACACUUUGGAAGAAGGGUAAAGAUCUAUACUCUGAAUGACUGUAAUCUCUGAAUGACUGUAAUCUCUGAAUGACUGUAAUCUCUGAAUGACUGUAAUCUCUGAAUUACUGUAAUCUCUGAAUGACUGUAAUCUCUGAAUGACUGUAAUCUCUGCAGUAACCAGGUUUCCAUCCAACCGUUUAAAUGCGGACAAAUUUACUUGACGCAUUUAAAAAAGUCACGACAUGGGGCUUAACGGAAACAGGAAAUGUCCGCAUAUGGUGGGAUCUUUUUUUGUGUCUGUGAGAAUUAAUUUGUGGUGUGUGCCGAAUUUUGGAUAUGCGUGUAAAUAUUGAUAUAAUAAACAUAUGGAAGUAAACUAGGAGUCAGUCGACUUGAUCAUAUGUUGUGUGGUCGCCCCACUACGACUAGUUUAUUAGGCUACAGAUGAAAUUAGUUGUAAACUUCACAGGGUGAUGAGCUUGAUGCUCCUGUCCAGUAAAUAUCGAGGGUGUUAUUCUGGUGACAUCAUGAUCGAUGCUUGGCGGCCAUUAGACAAGUAAUAAAAUCGGUCUUGUCCAUAAUAGUGUCAUCAUUUAGACUAGCCUACCCAGCAUCAAUAUCCUGUCCACAAAGAUCAAUAUCCUGUCCAUGAGCGUCAAUAUCCCGUCCACGAGCAUCAAUAUCCUGUCCACGAGCAUCAAUAUCCUGUCCACGAGCGUCAAUAUCCUGUCCACAAGCAUCAAUAUCCUGUCCACAAGCAUCAAUAUCCUGUCCACGAGCGUCAAUAUCCUGUCCACAAGCAUCAAUAUCCUGUCCACAAGCAUCAAUAUCCUGUCCACGAGCAUCAAUAUCCUGUCCACGAGCAUCAAUAUCCUGUCCACGAGCAGCAAUAUCCUGUCCACGAGCAUCAAUAUCCUGUCCACGAGCAAUCAAUAUCU
ensembl:lncRNA